rnacentral:rRNA from 1 species
GUGAAAUUGUUGAAAGGGAAGCGCUUGCAACCAGACCUGCCUGCAGUUGCUCAUCCGGGCUUUUGCCCGGUGCACUCUUCUGCUGUCAGGCCAGCAUCAGUUCGGGCGGUCGGAUAAAGGCUUCGGGAAUGUAGCUCCUCUCGAGGAGUGUUAUAGCCCGUUGCGAAAUGCGGCCAGCCUGAACUGAGGUCCGCGCUUCGGCUAGGAUGCUGGCGUAAUGGUUGUAAGCGGCCCGUCUUGAAACACGGACCAAGGAGUCUAACAUCUGUGCGAGUGUUUGGGUGUCAAACCCGUACGCGUAAUGAAAGUGAACGGAGGCGGGAACCCCUCGGGGUGCACCGUCGACCGAUCCUGAUGUCUUCGGAUGGAUUUGAGUAAGAGCAUAGCUGUUGGGACCCGAAAGAUGGUGAACUAUGCCUGAAUAGGGUGAAGCCAGAGGAAACUCUGGUGGAGGCUCGCAGCGGUUCUGACGUGCAAAUCGAUCGUCAAAUUUGGGCAUAGGGGCGAAAGACUAAUCGAACUAUCUAGUAGCUGGUUCCUGCCGAAGUUUCCCUCAGGAUAGCAGUAACGUUUUCAGUUUUAUGAGGUAAAGCGAAUGAUUAGAGGCCUGGGGGUUGAAACAACCUUCACCUAUUCUCAAACUUUAAAUAUGUAAGAAGUCCUUGUUGCUUAGUUGAACGUGGACAUUUGAAUGUAUCGUUACUAGUGGGCCAUUUUUGGUAAGCAGAACUGGCGAUGCGGGAUGAACCGAACGCGGAGUUAAGGUGCCGGAAUGCACGCUCAUCAGACACCACAAA